UUGGAGCUGUCGUGACCCAGCUUGUCCCCUCUCCCUGCGGUCGUCGGGACAGCCAGGCCGAGGACAGUGGGAGCCCCCACACGUGCUGAGGGAGGGCCUGCUGGUCCCCGAGGCCAGAGCAGGGCCUGGGCCAGCAUCCAAGCCACAGAGAUUAAUUUCCACGUCAGAAGCCUUGGAGGUGUAGUUGUGCUGGUCUUCAAUUAGAGUCCAAGGUUUGCCAGUUCGUCUUGGCCAGAGGCAGAGAAAAGCUCACGGGGCCCAGUGUGAUUAGAAAGAAAUGCGGAUGUGAUUGCAGUACUUCUGGUUUUCCAGGGGCUCCUUUUGGCUCGAAGGCACCGUUUUCAAGGAAACUUUGUCUUCCCCGCGGCAGCUGCGGGCUGCAGAUCGCUCGGGGGCCACGUGGAGCUUCCCCCCCACGCCCCUAAGGUGGAUGCUGCAAGGCAGAGUUUGGGGUGAACGUGGAACAAUCACCAGUGGCCUAGAGAAGCACCGUUCCGUGGGCGGCUCAGGAGGCCAAGGGGAAGCCCAUCCAACGGGAGAGAAGCCACGCUUUUCUGGACGUGCCGUGAGUGCGGCGGCUGCGGGUUGCGGGUGUCCCUUCGGCUUGUGGAUGAAGCUGUGUCCGCGGCUCUCGGGUGGUGGAGGCACACCUGGCCCUGUUCACCCUUGGCUGCAUGUUCUGGGUCUAGACCCCGUCGCGGCUUGUUUGGCUUUCCUCGUGGAGUUUAUGCUGGAACCUUCCACGGCCUGCUUCGUGGGGGUCGUGGGGAACGAGAAGAUGCUGAGGGAGGCGGGAGCGGCACGGCCCACCAGCCACCUCGCAGAUGCUUACGUGAGCGUCGUCGCUCUGGGACCCCAGCGGCGGGAAACCUCGUCCGAAGACAGGAUUUCUCCUUUCCUUGAAAACAGCGGCGGAGACCCCUCAGAGCAUGGAGUCGGCGUGUUUUCAAAGUUUCAAGUGACCCCCGAACACAGAGCUUUCAGGAAGCCGUGGGGGUCCCUCCCAGAGCCUCGUCCCCACCAGGAGAGCCCUCCAUCUGCAACCGUAACACCUGCUUUCAGCAGAAGACCCCUCCCAGCCUGGCCUUUAAUCAGCUUUUUUGCACAACCAAAUUUCAGGGCAACAAAGAAUCUGAAAGGCCCUGGGAGGGGUUCUUAGCGACACUGGCCCCUCUGGGUGAGACGUAGUCCCAGCUCCGCCAAGCCUGACCCGGCCCCGGCCCCGGCCCCCACCCCCAUCUCACUGUUUGCCAACCAGGCUAAGCAUCUUUCUGGGCACGAUGGGCUGGACAAGGUUGCAACUCCGUCAAGGCUUUAGUCCAGGCUCUUGCUCAUUUUUUAGUGGGUUGUUUGUCCUUUUAUUAUACAUUUUUUACGUAUU